rnacentral:rRNA from 1 species
UACAGAGGGGGCAAGCGUUAUUCGGAAUUAUUGGGCGUAAAGGGCGCGUAGGCGGCACCUUAAGUGAGAUGUGCAAUCCCCGAGCUCAACUUGGGAACUGCAUCUCAGACUGGGGAGCUAGAGUACUGGAGAGGGUGGUAGAAUUCCACGUGUAGCGGUGAAAUGCGUAGAGAUCGGGAGGAACAUCAGUGGCGAAGGCGGCCAUCUGGAUCAACACUGACGCUGAAGCACGAAAGCGUGGGGAGCAAACAGG